UGGUUCUGGCGUCGAUGAAGAACGCAGCGAAAUGCGAUAAGUAAUGCGAAUUGCAGAAUUCCAGUGAGUCAUCGAAUCUUUGAACGCACAUUGCGCCCUUUGGUAUUCCGAAGGGCAUGCCUGUUCGAGCGUCAUUAUCACCCCUCAAGCCUCUGGCUUGGUGUUGGACGGUUUGGUGGAGGCCCUCCCCGGGCUCCUGCCCCUCCUAAAGACAAUGACGGCGGCCUCGUUGGACCCCCGGUACACUGAGUUCUUUACGGGACACGUAUCGGAUACAUGGGUCCGCGGGACACGGUCUGCCUCCCCUCAGGGAGAAUAUUAUCAAGGUUGACCUCGGAUCAGGUAGGGAUACCCGCUGA
rnacentral:misc_RNA from 1 species